rnacentral:SRP_RNA from 1 species
ACUUGUCAUGUUCGGUGGCAUGUGUCUAUAGUCCCAGCUACUCAGGAGGUGGAGGCAGGAGGGUCAAUUGAGCCCAGGAGUUCUGAGCUAUAGUGCUGUAUGCCUAUGGGGUGUCCACACUAAAUUCAACAUCAGUAUGGUGACCUCCCAGGAGCAGGACCACCAGAUUGCCUAAGGAGGGGUGAACCAGCCCAGGUCAGAAAGGCAGCAGGUCAAAACUCCUACGCUGGCUGGCUCAGUAGCUUGCACCUAUACUCCCAGCUACUCAGGAAGCUGAGGAAAGAGAUCUCUU